CAUUUUUUUAUGGCGUGGCAGUGCGGAAGGCCACGCAGUCUCCCGCUCCUCCUCCUAUCUCCUGUUCAUUUGGAUUCGGUUCUUCCCCAAUUCUGCCCGCCAAUCUUUAUUUGGGCUACCAUUUUGUUUCUUCUCUCCUCUGAUCGACGAUUUCCGGAGAUUAGAUCGCGGGUUUCAUCUCGGAACUACUGCGACAGCCAGAUCAGUUCUCUUCCGUCUGAAUUCUGGCGAGAUCUCGCCGCGAUUCGACAGAUCCGGCCGGUUGGGAUGUUUCUCUUCUGCGGCGUCCUCGACGCAGAAGGACGCGAAGAAGAUCUUGCUCCUGGGACUUGAUAAUGCCCGGAAUGAUGACGCUGCUCCAUAUGUUCCACCGUUUGAUGGGUUCCAUGCCUGUGUCGUUGCUCUUAUGGAAUUCGAAUAGCCAUUGGUUGAGUUCUGUGUCUAGUUGCAGAGGUUGGCUCAGCACCAGCCGACGUCAGAGGAGCUGAGCAUCGGGAAGAUCCAGUUUAAUGCCUUUGAUUUGGGUGGCCACCAUAUCUUAUAUUCUGAUAUUUGCCUUCGCUUACCCACCGGAAAAGAAAAGGCUUGAUUGUCAGGCUGAUGCUGUGUUGCAUCUAAGUGGAUGUGCAUGACAAUGAGAGGAAGGAGCUGAAUGUGCUUCUCUCACUCCGAUGAAGCUCUGGCAAAUAUUCCUUUCCUCCUUUUGGGUAACAAGAUUGACAUUCCAUAUGCAGAAUCCGAAGAAGAGUUGUGCUUCCCAUCUAGGCCUGAGCAAGUUCACAACCGGAAGGGGAAAGGUCAACCUUGUGGAUUGUAAUGUACACCCCCUCGAAGUCUUCAUGUUCAGUAUCAUGCGUAAGAAUGGCUAAGGUGAUCGCUUCAAGUGGCGUUCACAGUACAUUAAGUUGGAUGCUAUACGUGUGUUGCCUUUACUUGGCUUUCACAAACAGCAAAAAAACCUUGCAAGUUGUUUGUGAAGCAUUUUGAUCUCAAUAUUAUGUUGGGUGGAGACCGGUUAAACCA